rnacentral:rRNA from 1 species
GAUGAACGCUGGCGGCGUGCCUAAUACAUGCAAGUCGAGCGAACGGACGAGAAGCUUGCUUCUCUGAUGUUAGCGGCGGACGGGUGAGUAACACGUGGAUAACCUACCUAUAAGACUGGGAUAACUUCGGGAAACCGGAGCUAAUACCGGAUGAUAUUUUGAACCGCAUGGUUCAAAAGUGAAAGACGGUCUUGCUGUCACUUAUAGAUGGAUCCGCGCUGCAUUAGCUAGUUGGUAAGGUAACGGCUUACCAAGGCAAGGAUGCAUAGCCGACCUGAGAGGGUGAUCGGCCACACUGGAACUGAGACACGGUCCAGACUCCUACGGGAGGCAGCAGUAGGGAAUCUUCCGCAAUGGGCGAAAGCCUGACGGAGCAACGCCGCGUGAGUGAUGAAGGUCUUCGGAUCGUAAAACUCUGUUAUUAGGGAAGAACAUAUGUGUAAGUAACUGUGCACAUCUUGACGGUACCUAAUCAGAAAGCCACGGCUAACUACGUG